rnacentral:tRNA from 1 species
AACGAUAUAGUGUAACGGUUAACAUACCUCGGUCUCGUCGAGGCGUUCAGGGUUCGAUUCCCUGUAUCGGAU